rnacentral:rRNA from 1 species
AUUGAACGCUGGCGGCAGGCCUAACACAUGCAAGUCGAACGAGUGGCGGACGGGUGAAUAAUGUCUGGGAAACUGCCUGAUGGAGGGGGAUAACUAUUGGAAACGUUAGUAAAACCCGCAUACCUUCGGAGGUGCCCAGAUGGGCUUAGCUAUAGGGGGGGGUAAAGGCUAACCUAGGCGACGAUCCCUAGCUGGUCUGAGAGGAUGACCAGCCAAACUGGAACUGAGACACGGUCCAGACUCCUACGGGAGGCAGCAGUGGGGAAUAUUGCACAAUGGGCGCAAGCCUGAUGCAGCCAUGCCGGGUGUAUGAAGAAGGCCUUCGGGUUGUAAAGUACUUUCAGCGGGGAGGCGUUACCCGCAGAAGAAGCACCGGCUAACUCCGUGCCAGCAGCCGCGGUAAUAC